rnacentral:lncRNA from 1 species
AGAUAGUCCGUACUUUGGAAGGGGAUGCAUCUCUGGCUGACCUUAAUGAAGGAAUCAGACCUGGCCAAAGCAGUGUAUACGGAAGCUUAGACUAUGAUACAAUGCAAUACAAUGAAGACUUAAAAAAAUUCAGGAAGAUGGCACUAAACAGCCAGGAAAUCAGUGCCAGUAGCGGGUACAGUAGACCUACCAGCGAUUACGGUUUACACUCUUCCAGCUCUAGCAGUGAAGGCCAUAACACCCGAGAAAUAGAGAUGGGAAAGGCGAGGAAAAAUAGUCACAGACAAGGUUUCAGCGGAAGCCCCUAACAAUUGACACUAUUUUUCUGUAAAGUUCUAACAUCCCAAAAAUUACCCGUGAAAACACAAGGGUAAAAUUGGAAUGAAACCGCAUAUUUUUUUUUAAUUAAUAAAUCUCAAGAUAUACAAUCAUUAUUCAUACUUCAACUGAAUCUUUAUAUAAAACAUCUGAAAUAAAGUUUCCAAAGAAAAGUCUCUAAUUCAAAAUAAAAAUUUAGCCAAAUUUAAUCUUUAAAGCAAUUCUAAAGAUCCACUAAGAAAAAUUCUAUAUUCAAAAGCCUCAAGCCAUAUCUCUAAUCAAUCUGCAAAAUAUUGGAGACGAAGGGUGAGCCAUUAACUCGGUAAGCAAAUUCAUGCACAAUAUUUAAAAUUUUUUGUCAUUUUACCUUUAAAAAUUUUAUAACAACAUCUUCAUUUAGCAUAAGGGGUGGAUUCAUGUAAAAGCAUUAAAAACAUUAAAACAUAAACAUUGGUAGCUCAUGCCAUGUAGUCAUCAUCAUUCAUCAUUCAUCGUUCAGGAUAUUAUACCCCACAUUGUUCAUAACAUCCUUGUGCACAAGAUCAUCAUCAUACUAGCAAGCUGGCCAUAGUAUUUCGUAACAUCAUAACAUGGGCAUCAUAUACAUUACUACGGAUUUUGAGUCAAAACAUUUUUGAAUCCACCUUACAUCCUUUCAAAAAUAGCAUUUAAAGUCUUCUAAAACAUUUAAGUACCUGGCUUUGAUCAUUUAAUUAUUUUAGAAAAUUCUUUAAGAAAACAUUUUGUUUAAGAAAACUAAUUUCUUAAGAAAAAUUCAUUUUAAAUUUUAUUUUUAUAAAUUCAUUUAAAGGUUAUUUUACAAAAUUCAUUUAAAUAUUUUAGAAAUCAAUUUUGUAAAAUUUUUUUAUCUAAACAUAAUUCUUAUAACAUAAAUUACAUUUAUUAUGAAGCACAUCAUGCGUGAAUCUACUUACCUCAAUCCGCAGCAAUCAACUCAAUACCAUAAGAACAACCAACGAGCUCACCCACAUCCUAUAAUCAUCAUAAAAAUAUCCUUAUCAAUAUCAUCUAUGACCUUAAACAUAAUCCCAAUCAUCCUUAAUUCAUAGGCAUACUAGCUCAAUACUUAUACAUAUUCUAGACAUAAGUAUGAGUAUCUUACAUAUGCUGAUUUUUAAUAACCUAUACAAAUGUCGGAAAACCAUGAAAAUUUACAGAGGCACUGUGAACAUGCAUAGCAUUGCAUACAAUAUUUCACAAAAUCAGCACAAGUCAAAAUCGAGCCAGAAUAUUGACCUUUCACUAAAGUAACAAAACUGCCCAGCAUUGAACAAAACAGACAUUUACCACUUAGGAGAUUCAUAAAAUAUUCUUUAGUACUCGAAAUAAUAUGUUUCUUUUUUUUAAUUACAGAAAACACAUUAAAAAAUAAUAUAAUUAAAAUUCAUAAUUUUUGGACGCCUGAAACUAUUUUAAAAGCAUUUUAUUUCCAAAAACAUCGAACCUGCCAGAAAAUUUCAGAUUUAAAAACAGAACUUCAAAAAUUCAUAUAUUUUAUUUUACAUGCCCAAAAAUCACGAUUCCAGUUUUUAAAGACAGAGGAAAGAUUGAAAUUUCAUUAUAAAAUCCUAAAAUGGCAUGUAAUAUUCAUAAAUUAGCCCAACUGUUACACGUUUCAGCUUCUGCAAUUCUGGAAAACAGUUUCCAGAUCUGCAGCAGCCACAUGUUACGAUUUUUAAUAAUUUAACCAUAAAGAAUAAAACUAUGAAAUUAAACAUGCAAGCAUAGGAGACAAGAUCUGUUGAUAUAAAAAUUGCCAUAAUUUUUAAGGAUGUGUAACCUUACAGAAAAAUUUCUAGAAGUGAGAACCGCUGCUGAAAAUCAGAAUUUUCCAGCACCAGUAACCCAAUUUCGAAAAACCAUAACAAUUUGCAUACUCAGAGGAUUUCAACACAAAACUUAUCAAUGGAAAGCUUAGGAUGUCUAGUUCCAUGAUAUGUAAGCAUGUUCACGUGAUUCUAAAUAAAGAAAACGAUUUCAAGCAAGGACUAGAGACUGUUCAUAUCAUCACAACAUUACAAACAAACAUAUAUUACCCAAACUUCAGGAAGAUGGCAUUAAACAGCCAGGAAUACAGUGCCAGUAGCGAGUACAGUAGACCUACCAGUGAAUAUGGUUUGUAUCCUUCUGGGUCAAGCAGUGAAGGCCAGAACACCCGAGAAAUGGAGAUGGGAAAGACGAAGAAAAACAGUCAAGGUUUCAGCGGAAGCCCCUAACAACUGACACUAUUUUUCUGUAAAGUCCCCGGCACACCCUUCUUUUUCAUUCACACUAUGAAUUGAAUGUCGCAUUGAUUGCAAAAUUGUUGUUUGGCAUAAUUCAUACAAUUUUCUUAUCCUUUUUCCCCCUCUAAUUUUGUAAUUUUUUUCCCCCCCAAUACUUGUAUUUACUAGUGCUUGUUAAAUAUACAAGAAUGUAAGGAAGAGAUUGUCACAAUAUGUUCCAAUGGCUUGACCUCGACCCCUCCCUCUGCCCCUUCCUCGAGCUAUGUUGUUGUAAUAAGAGUAACAGUGGGAAAUAAUGAUAGAACAAUUGAUAAUAUAAUAAAGUUUGUGAAUUUUCUUGAUGCCUUUAUUGAAUAAACUAUGCUGAAUUUAUACACUGCAAGACUUUGCAUCUUAACAACGAAAGCACAACUAAUAACUAAAAAAAAUAGCAACAGUAGCUAAAAAAUAGCAAAUAAAUCAGACUUGUGCACAUUAUUCAGAGUAGUGACCAACUACUUUGACUGACUCAAUAGAAUUAAAAGAAUAAUUAAAAUAGAGUGCUGCAGACUCGUAACAUUCCUUCCCCCUUGAAUAGGUCCUUGUCCUCAAGGACUCUUAAAGUGAGGGAACCUUGCCAUAAAAGAACUUUCUUCCUCCCAGGUAGCUUCUGAAGCUGGGAGACCAUCCCAUUGAAUCAACAUUUCACACUUGUGUCCUGUCCUACGGUGUUUCAGAAUUGCUGAAGGUUGGGGCUGAAGUUCUCCACUUUCAUCUACUAUAGAUGGAAGGCUAGAAAGAGUUCGAUCUUGGGCACCCAGUUGUUUCUUCAAGAGAGAGACAUGAAAAACAGGAUAGAUUUUACUUCCAGGCGGAAGAUCGAGGCGAUAGGCAACUAAUCCAAUUCUCUCCAACACUCGAUAAGGACUAUAAAAGCGGGGCAAGAGUUUGUUUGACGAUCUCAGAGCCAAGGAGGUCUGCCGGUAGGGCUACAGAUGUAAAUACACCCAAUUCCCCACAAAAAAUUCUCUUUCCACUUUUCCACGAUCAUAUACAGCUUUCAUUCUAUCUUGUGCUUGUUGGAGUUGAGUCUUUAGCUCUCGCAUGACCCGAUCUCUAGCUUGCAACGUCUGGUCCACGGCUUCUACUCUAGCUGUGUCAGGAACAUAAGUUAACAAGUUAGGUGCAGCUCACCCAUACACCACUUCAAAGGGAGUCUUUCAAGUGGAAGCGUGAAGACUGGUGUUAUAACAUAAUUCUGCCCAGGAAAUCCAGUGAACCCACUCGUUUGGCUUGGCACUUGUGAAGCAUCGCAAAUACAUUUCAAUAGUUCGGUUCACUGCCUCAGUUUGCCCAUCCAUUUGCGGAUGAUAAGAUGAGCUGAAAUUGAAAUGAGUGCCCUGUAAAUUGAAAAGCUCCUUCCAAAAAGAACUCAAAAAGUUAGAAUCUCGAUCACACACAAUUGAUCUUGGCAUGCCAUGAAGCUUAAACACAUUCUCAAAAAACAGUUGUGCCAACUUAGGAGCAGAAUAAAGAUGAGAUAUUGGAAUAAAAUGGGCAUAUUUAGACAACCGAUCCACCACCACAAAGAGAACUGAUUUUCCUUUAGAUGGGGGUAAUCCAUCAAUGAAAUCCAUCGAGAUAUCAGACCAUACCUCUGUGGGAAUAGGUAAAGGCUGAAGAAGGCCCGAGGGUGAUUGAUGAUCAACCUUGUGAUGUUGACACACAUCACACUGUUUAAUAUAAUUCUUAAGUGUCUCUUUCAUGUGCUUCCAAUAGAAAACUUCUUUGAUUAUGUGGAAGGAUUUGUAAAACCCCUCAUGACUGCCAUCAUGGAUCUCUUGGAUGAUUGUUGGAAUUAAUGGUGAAUUUUCAGGUAAGUAGAUCCGUUCCUUGAAGAAUAAAAUGCCAUCUCGAUUCUCCCAAGGCCCCACUGCCUCACCUUGCUGUAGAUUCUCCUGUAUUUGUUGUAACUCGGGAUGUGACUGAUUUUCCUCUCAAACCAUCUUUAACCAUUGUGGUAAAAGGCAGGAUAUAAAAUUGAUUUCGCCUUGUGCGUCCCUUCUAGAUAAUGCAUCUGCUGCUGCAUUACUCUUUCCCUUCUUGUAUUCGAUGGAAAAAUCAUAUCCCAUCAGUUUGAGUAGCCACUUCUGUUGAGCUUCUGUCAUUAUUCUCUGCUCCCACAAGUAUUUUAGACUCUGUUGAUCAGUUCGAACUAUAAAAUGGCGCCCCAACAAGUACAGUCUCUAUUUCUUUAUUGCUAAAACAAGUGUCAUCAACUCCUUUUCGUAAGUAGAGAGUAAUAGAUUCUUUCAUUUUAAAGCAGUGCUAAAAUAUGCAAUUGGUUUCUGUUCUUGCAUUAAAACAUCAUCUAAACCACUCCUAGAUGCAUCACAUUCAACGAUGAAUAAAAGGGUGAAAUUUGGCAAGGCUAGCAUUGGAGCACGAGUCAUGGAUUGUUUCAACAACUUAAAGGCCAUGUCUGCUUCUGAAUUCCAAAAAAAAGAUUUCUUUUUCAGCAUGGACGUCAAAGGAGCGGCUAUGUUGCCAUAACAUGUAGUAAAUUUUCUGUAGUAACCAGUGAGUCCCAGGAAACCUCUUAAUGCCUUGACAUUAGAUGGUUUUGGCCAGCCUUCCAUUGCUUUAAUUUUGUCAGGGUCAACCUUCACACCAUUACUACAAAUAAUGUGGCCUAAGUAUUUAACUUGGGUUUCCCCGAAUUGGCACUUCUCCCUUUUAACAACUAAAUGAUGAGCUCGCAAGAUCGAGAAAGUAAUUCGAACAUGUUUUUGAUGGUCGGACCAUGAUUUGCUAUAAAUCAAAAUGUCAUAAAAAAAACUAGGAUGAAUUUACGUAAAUGAGCUUUGAAGAUAUCAUUUAUGAGGGACUUAAAUGUAGAAGGUGCAUUAGAGAGCCCAAAGGGCAUUACUGGGAAUUCAAAAUGUCCGUGAUGAGUUCGAAAGGCCGUCUUAUGCACGUCAUUUAGGUUUAUGCGAAUCUGAAAAUAGCCUGACUUGAGGUCGUGCUUUGUAAAGAACUUGGCACCAUGCAAUUCAUCUAAUAGUUCAUCGAUCACCAGAAUUGAAAAUUUAUCUUUCACAGUUUGUCGAUUAAGUGCUCUGUAAUCCACUCAAAACCUCGAACUCCCAUCAUAUUUUCGUACUAAUAAUACUGGUGAAGAAAUAUCGAUAAGGACGAACAUAUAGCGGCCCAGUUCCUGGCUGAAGAGGAAUUUGAUGGUCUUGGGAACGCGAGGGCGGCAGCCCUAUUGGAGUUUCAAAAACAUCAUGAAAUUCAGUAAGUAAGAAUCCCAAAUCAUCAUUUUGUGUUACCUCAUGGGUUGCUGUUGGUUCGUUAUCCACUGAAAUUGAGCAAAGUUGUAAAAUGAUCCCACGACCUUGGUUUUUCCUCAAUGUUUUCGGAAUUGUAUCUCCCUCAAUAGCUUUAAGUUCUAAAGUAGUAGCACUCCGUAAUGUCACCUAAUGCCCAUCUUUAGUAAAUUGCAUUUCCAUUUUGUCAAAGUCUUAAAAGAUUGGUCCAAGGGUGCAUAACCACUGUGCCCCUAACAUCGCAUCACAUCCUUCUAGAGAAAAGAGGUAAAACUUUGCUUUAAUUUGAGUCCCCUGCAACUGCAACUGUACUCCCUUACAAGGAUCAGGACUAGUCAAUUUCUCUAUAUUGGCAACUACCACACUAAGCAGACACCCUGGCUCCGGCUUCAGUCCCGUAAUUUUUACAAAUUUGUGAUGGAAAAAAUUAUGAGUUGAACCAGAAUCAAUUAAAAUAGUCAGAGAGGCUUUACCAAUACUUGACUGAAGUCGCAUUGUUUGUGGAGAUUGGACCCCAGCUAGAGAAUGCAAGGAAAUAGCGGGAGUCUCUUAUGUAUCGUCCUUCUCCUCUUGAUGUUCUUCUGGCUCGUCCCCUUCUUCCGCCUCAAUCAAAAAUAAUUUCUUGCAUUUGUGUCCAAAGGUAUACUUCUCAUCACAGUUAUAACACAAUCCUUGUUCCCGCAGACGUUGGAGUUCUGUUGGGGAGAACCUGUGAAUUGGUAGUGUGAGGUCAGAAGUAGAGUUUCUGGAGAAAUUUAUUGUGCCUAGUUGUGUGUUAGAAUUUUGUCCAAAGGAUGAGACUGGUGUAUUCGUGGAUCUUUGGGUCUUAAAUUCAUAAGUUCGGGCCAACGCAAUCGCUGCACUUAAAUUUAAAGGAUUUUGUACUCGCACAUCAGUUCGUAACCCAUCUUUUAACCCACUGAUAAAACACCCAGCUUCUUGCUUGUCUGUUAAGUGACCUGCUCGGGCUAGUAACCUUGCAAACUGAGUUUGAUACUCUGAUAUCGUUCCUGUCUGUUUAAGCUUGCACAACUCACCGAAUGGAUCUUCAUAUUCAGUAGAGCCAAAUUGCUCUAACAAGCCUGCCUUCAUGCCCUCCCAUGUCACAAGAUGCCCUUAAUUCUUACAACGUUGAAACCAUAACUGUGCAUCAUUUUCCAAGUGAUAUGUGUUAGCCUAAAGGGCUAUACAUAAUGUAAUUUUGAUGAUAACAAACAUAUGUAUUGAGUGAUUUAAUAAAUAUUGUAUUUUACAUUUUCACUAGUUUUUGAAGGAUAAUAUUUAUGCAAGUGAAUCAAGAUUGAAGACAUUCAACGGACAACGGCGACAUCAAGAAUAGUCUAGAGCUCAACGAACAAAUUAGUGCGAUAAGUUCUUGUAAAGCCGGUAUGAUUUAAUUGAUGUUUGAUUUAGCAUUUGAGAAGCUCAAGAAAUUAAUUUAAUUAAAUACUUUUCAUAAACUAAAAGUUUUUUUUUUUAUAAAGACAAGUAUUUUGUGAAUUUAAGUAAUUUGGACUUAAAUGCUAAGAUUUGAAAUCUUUGAUUUUAAUAAGAAUUAAAUUUCGGAGUUGGAUGUUUUUACAAAUAUUUUAAAUGUUUUGGGCCAUACUAUAAUUUGUGAAUAUUUUGGACUAAAGUGAAAGAUUUUGAGAACUUUAAAAAAUAUAGGUAUUAUGUUGAAAAUGACCUUUGUGCGAAACAAUAAAAUCUUUGGGGCCAUAUCAUAAUUUCAAAAAGUUUGGGAAAGACAACUACUUUCGGGAAGUUCUGAAAUUGGACCUAUUUAUAAAGUUUUCUGACGUUUUGGGCCAUAGUAUAAUUAUAGAAAGUUUUAGGCCAAAGUGUAAUUUCAAUGAACAGUGUUACUGUAGCAAAAUUCAAAAAUAACGGUAAUAUCACUGUUCCUGAGCGGCGAGCCGGAUAAAUAAGCGGCUUGGGCGCUGGAAUUUGCCUAUAACGGCUAGUUUUCGGGCUUUCACUAUAAAAACUCAACUCAAACUUCAUUUUAAGAACUAACACAAGCAAAUAUAAGAUCAUAUAACAUAUAUUGAGCUUCCAUUUCGCAAAUAAUCAUUUAUUGAAUCAUUAUUGAGCUAUAAUUUAUUAUCCACUCUUAAAGGGAGUUUCUUUGUUGUGAUUUUUAUUUCUCAUCAAUUUGUGAGUGUACAAGUGUGGGAAACACUUGGGGUGAAGAGAUUGGGGAUAUAAUCUCUUGUUGUAAAGGUUUAUUGACACCUUGGAAGUCAAUUGUAAACAUUUGAAGCCUUAGGAGGCUUGGAUAGUGAAAUUCUCGAGCUCGGUUGGCUUGGAGGCGUGGACGUAGGCGGGGAUAGCCGAACCACGUAAAAAUCCUUGUGUUCGUUUUCUCUUCCCUUACUCUUUUAAUAUUGUGCUUGAAUGAAUUUAUUGUUUUGAUUUUAUUAAGGCAAUAGAUUAAAUUGUUGUGCGAAUUGUAUUGCAUAAAUGUUUAAUAUCCCAAUUUACCCCCCCUCUUGGGUUGCAUAACUUGCAUUUCAUUUGGUAUCAGAGCGAUGUGCUCUUUUGUAGACUUAGCCGUCUAGAGUUAAAGAUUCAUGGCAACCCAUAGUGACUCAACCUUUAGGGAAGGACAAUCCACAAUUAGACCACCGUUCUUUGACGGUAAUGACUACCCAUAUUAGAAAACUAGGAUGAGAAUUUAUUUACAAGCUUUAGAUUAUGAAAUUUGGGAAAUUGUUUGUGAUGGUCCAUUUAUGCCUUUGACUAAAAACGAAGUUGGGGAAGAUAUUCCAAAACCUUCAAGGGAAUAAAAUGAAUUGGAAAAGAGAAAAGCUUAUCUAAACUCCAAAGCUAUGAAUGCCUUGUUUUGUGCACUAGAUAAGAAAGAGUUUCAUAGAGUAUCUAGUUAUGAAAGUGCUAAUGAAAUUUGGCACAAACUUGAAGUUGUUUAUGAAGGCACAAAUCAAGUGAAAGAGUCUAAAAUUAGUAGGUACACUCGACAAUAUGAAUUGUUUCAAAUGGAACAAAAUGAGAGUGUAUAUUCUAUGUACACUAGAUUUACGGACAUAGUGAACACUCUAUGAGCCCUAGGAAAGACCUUUUCAAAUAGUGAGAAAGUUAAGAAAAUCAUUAGGUCACUACCUAAGGAAUGGAGAUAAAAAACGACUGCCAUUGAGGAAGCCUGCUGUACCGUACAUCCGCCUUGGCCGUACAGCAGGUUUGAUAGAGAUGGAUAUGCUGGCUAAGAGGCUUAGAAAACUUUUUAAGAAAUCCGGUGAACGAAGAAAAUUUAGAGACCUCAAGAACCGAAAUGAGAAGAAGGAAGUAAUCAAAUGCUAUGAGUACAAGAAGCCUGGUCAUAUAAGAACAGAAUGCCCUCUUCUCAACAAGCUCAAGAAGAGAGCAAUAGUAGCCACAUGGGAUGAUAGCGAUGAGGAAACAAGUGAUGAUGAAGAGCAUCAAGAAAUGACAAAUCUAGCUCUCAUGGCAAUUGGAGAUGAAUCGGAUGAUGAACUUGAUGAGGUAAAUGAUCUUCUUACUUAUGAUGAAUUACAUGAUGCGUUUAAAGAAUUGUAUGAUGAGUGGAUGAAAAUUGGUAAAAAGAAUGCAUGUCUUAAAAAGAAAAUGGUAAAGCUCACAAAUGAGAAUGAAUCUCUAAGUGCAAAGAUUACAUGCCUAGAAUUAGAGAAUAAAAUAUUGCAUGAUAAAGUUGCAUUAUCGAAUGAGAAACCUAACACUUCACAUGAGCAUCUAGAAUCAUAUGUAGAUGACUUGAAAAAUGAAAAGGAUGCUUUACAAAAAUGCAAUGAUUCAUUAAAUGAAAAGAUUAAAGGACUAGAGUUAGAUAAUAAAAUGUUGCAUGAUAAAAUUGCAUAAUUUAAAUGCAAACAAAGUACUUCAUAUGAGCAUGAGAAAUCACAUGUUGAUGAAUUAAUGAAAGAAAAUGAAGUGCUUAAGAAGAAGAGUAAUGAGCUAAAUCAAAUUGUGUUAAAAUUCACAAAUGGGCAAAAGAUGUUGGAUAACUUGCUUAAUUCACAAAAAAUGUGUGUUUGAUAAAGGAGGUAUUGGUUAUAAGCCAAAUUUGAAACAAAAAUAUUAUAAGAGUUAUUUUGUUAAAACUAUCUCCAUUAAUGAUCAAAUUGUAUGUCAUUAUUGCAAUCAAAAUGGUCACAUAAAGAAUAGAUGUCCAGUUAAAAGAAAUGCUUAUUAUGGAGCAAAAUGUAUUUGGGUUCUAAAAGGAACCAUUGCUAACACUUAAGGACCCAAGAAUAUUUGGGUACCAAAAUACACAACUUGAACAAUUUUUUGUAGGUACCACAAAUAAGGAUGGAGAGUUCCUUGAUGAAGCUUGUGAGGAUAAUCACUUAAUCAUGGUCUGGGCAAAAAUAAUGAGGCAAGAUGGUUUAAUUGUUUUGGUAACAAUUAUUGCCUUAUUGAUUAUAAGUGAUGGUCUUUUAAUCUUAGUAAGUAUUUAAUAAUUCAUUUGGUAUCAUAACAUUAAGUGCAUUAACAUGAUGUGGAUAAGUUUAUCUUGGCUAUUGAUUAUGUUGAGUGAAUCAUGAUGGAUGGAUAAUAGCUUGAACUUACAAAAGCAUGCUCGUACGUUUACAUAAUUAAUUUAUUAUUGUGUGUAAUCAUGAUGCAUGGAUAAAUAUAUAUGAUGGUAGCAUGUCAACUCAUCAUGAUGAAUUUGUUUGAUUUUUAAUGAUUAUGUAAUGCCUAAGCAUGAGGAAUGAAUGAUAUUGCAUUAGAAUUUAUCUCUACGAAAAAACAAUUUGCCGAUAUUUUCACAAAACCCCUUUGCGAAGAACAAUUUUCAAAAAUUCGGCAUGAACUUGGGAUGAUGAAAUUUUCGCAUUAACAUCUCUAUCUAUGUUAUUGAAUCUAUUAAAAUUGUUUGGAAAACAAAGGAGUCGUUGAAAAUCCCAAGUCUGCACAAGCUGUAAUGAAUUGGUCAUAACUCCUUCUAGAGAACUCCAAAUCAAGCUCUGUAAACUUUAUUGGAAAGCUAACUUAAUUAUCUUUCCAACGGUAUAUAGGUUGCAUGUUAAUUCUGGCUCAAUCAAUACAUUUUGUUUUUCUGAAUUUGACCUUUCUGUAUUUUAUUAAGUUUUGAAUGCUUAUAUGCUUCAUGAUUGUAUGCUUGUUGGAUGGAUUAUUUGUUUUAAUUAAUUAUCUUUUGGAUGUUUAAAAUCAUGAAUCAUGCAUUAAAUUGGCUCUUGAGAUGUUUCGGGAUCACAAAAUAAUCACAGAAUUGAUUGAAACAAGCCGGAAAGCAAGUAGAGUGCAGGUGGACAGCAACCAGGCGGCUAGCCGCUUGGAAAACUGUCCCAAACCCGAGAGCAAGCGGCUAGCCGCGUGGUCACGGGUUGGACAAUUUUUUUUUGCUUGUUCUUCUUCAUUCAUGAUUUUUCUGCACAUGUUUCUCUUCUCUCACCAAAACCGUGAACAUCCUUUCCAUUUUCACCUCCAUUUUCUUCCUUUUUCAUCCAUUUUCAUGCCCAAAUCAACCAUUCAAACUAAUACCCAUGCAUUUCAUCUUCAUUAAACACUUCUCCAUCAUGAUUUCUUCACUUAUUUUUCACCAUUUCAUCAUCAUCUCUCACGAGUGAACAGUACCUCACCAUUUCUCUCUCAAAAUUCUUCAUCUUUCACUCAUUUUCUUGUUAAAAUCAAUCAUCCAACUUAUUAUUCAUCCAUUACUCCUUCAAUUUUCACUCUCAAAACUUCAUUUCAUCAACUCUCCACAUAAAACCCAAAAUCAAAAACCUAACUCUACCCGUUUCUCUCUCUACAUUUUCAAGCUUCUUUAGCCCAUUUUUUAUCCAAUCUACAUCAUCUAUUAGCUUCAUUCAUCUCUAGGAUCAAUUUUCUUGGCUCAAACAAAUCCAUUUCACUCAAUUUUUGUAAACUCAAAAUUGGAUCUUUAAGCUUGUUUUUGUUCCAACAAUGGUGGAUGGUAAUAAAUCAUGAGCAAACAAGUUGCCAAGAGAUGUAAGGACAAUUAUGGAGAUAAUAUGGAGUUCAUAUCAACACCAUCCAUUAUCUUAAAUCAUCUCUUGGAUAAAUAUAAUCGGUUUAAAAUAAUCCAUUUCACUCAUUAUUUUACAAAACCGAAUUUGUGCAUUUUGGGUAUUUUAAAUUACCAUGGUUCCUUAUUAUAUUAUGCACCUAUAUUUUCAUAUGCAUAAUUGUUUUAAUUGUGGAUUAUGGAUGAUGGUUGUUUAAUAUCUGGAUAAUUUAUAUUUGGAUGAUAUUUUCUGAAUUCUUAGAAUGAAUACGACUCUUUGGAUUAAUUGCGUGCUUUAUUUUUAUAUGGUUCUUGAUUAAUCAUUGAGAUGUUCUUUUUGGUAUAAACAUAAUGUUUGAUGAUUAUAUAUGUGCCGCUUGAUGAAUUAAUGGAGUUGUUGGUUUGUUAUAAUUGUUUAAGCUUAUAUGGAAGUGUUAUUAAUCACAUUGUGUAUUUAAGGAUUUGUGCAUUUUAAGGGGAGACUCUACUGAAAUUUUUCCUCGCACAAAAUUGGUAAUAUCCUUAUCGAAUUAUUUUUUAUGCUCUUGUUUCAUUUUUUUUCUAAUGAUAUUUUGGUUAAAUAUUUUCGGUCUUAGCAUGAAUUACUAGUAAUUUUGAUGAUGAAGGGGGAGAAGUCAUGUAUUUUGAAUAUGAAGACAUGUAAUACAUAUUUUGUAUUUCAAGUAUUUAUGCAUGAUUUUGAAAUAUUAAGGGGGAGCUUACAAAUUAUCAUAAAUCAAAUAUUUAGUCAUAUUCAGUAGAGCCAAAUUGCUCUAACAAGCCUGCCUUCAUGCCCUCCCAUGUCACAAGAUGCCCUUAAUUCUUACAACGUUGAAACCAUAACUGUGCAUCAUUUUCCAAGUGAUAUGUGUUAGCCUAAAGGGCUAUACAUAAUGUAAUUUUGAUGAUAACAAACAUAUGUAUUGAGUGAUUUAAUAAAUAUUGUAUUUUACAUUUUCACUAGUUUUUGAAGGAUAAUAUUUAUGCAAGUGAAUCAAGAUUGAAGACAUUCAACGGACAACGGCGACAUCAAGAAUAGUCUAGAGCUCAACGAACAAAUUAGUGCGAUAAGUUCUUGUAAAGCCGGUAUGAUUUAAUUGAUGUUUGAUUUAGCAUUUGAGAAGCUCAAGAAAUUAAUUUAAUUAAAUACUUUUCAUAAACUAAAAGUUUUUUUUUUUAUAAAGACAAGUAUUUUGUGAAUUUAAGUAAUUUGGACUUAAAUGCUAAGAUUUGAAAUCUUUGAUUUUAAUAAGAAUUAAAUUUCGGAGUUGGAUGUUUUUACAAAUAUUUUAAAUGUUUUGGGCCAUACUAUAAUUUGUGAAUAUUUUGGACUAAAGUGAAAGAUUUUGAGAACUUUAAAAAAUAUAGGUAUUAUGUUGAAAAUGACCUUUGUGCGAAACAAUAAAAUCUUUGGGGCCAUAUCAUAAUUUCAAAAAGUUUGGGAAAGACAACUAUUCUUGGAAAGUUCUGAAAUUGGACCUAUUUGUAAAGUUUUUUGACGUUUUGGGUCAUAGUAUAAUUAUAGAAAGUUUUAGGCCAAAGUGUAAUUUCAAUGAACAGUGUUACUGUAGCAAAAUUCAAAAAUAACGGUAAUAUCACUGUUCCUGAGCGGCGAGCCGGAUAAAUAAGCGGCUUGGGCGCUGGAAUUUGCCUAUAACGGCUAGUUUUCGGGCUUUCACUAUAAAAACUCAACUCAAACUUCAUUUUAAGAACUAACACAAGCAAAUAUAAGAUCAUAUAACAUAUAUUGAGCUUCCAUUUCGCAAAUAAUCAUUUAUUGAAUCAUUAUUGAGCUAUAAUUUAUUAUCCACUCUUAAAGGGAGUUUCUUUGUUGUGAUUUUUAUUUCUCAUCAAUUUGUGAGUGUACAAGUGUGGGAAACACUUGGGGUGAAGAGAUUGGGGAUAUAAUCUCUUGUUGUAAAGGUUUAUUGACACCUUGGAAGUCAAUUGUAAACAUUUGAAGCCUUAGGAGGCUUGGAUAGUGAAAUCCUCGAGCUCGGUUGGCUUGGAUAGCCGAACCACGUAAAAAUCCUUGUGUUUGUUUUCUCUUCCCUUACUCUUUUAAUAUUGUGCUUGAAUGAAUUUAUUGUUUUGAUUUGAUUAAGGCAAUAGAUUAAAUUGUUGUGUGAAUUGUAUUGCAUAAAUUUUUAAUAUCCCAAUUCACCCCCCGUCUUGGGUUGCAUAACUUGCAUUUCAAUAUGCUGCUAAUCGAACCUGAUCAUUAGGAGCUGUUGCUUGAAAAUCGAAGAAUUGCUCCGCCCUGCAAAUCCAUAGUGUUGGAUCUUCAGAGCCAUCAUAACGUGGAAAAUCCAACUUGGUAAGCUUUGGAGCCAUCCAACCACCUACUUCACCGAAACCACCCAGCUCUUCUUCUGUCUUUUCCAAGAACAAGUAUAAGUUACUGUUUGUGUGGUCCAACAGUUGGGUUUUCUUCUUGGCAGCUGCAACCCUCCAUACUCGCAACUUGUCAGCUCUUCCCAAUUCUAGCUACAAUUCUUCUUCUACAAUCUUCAUCUCUGCCUCCGUCAAAUCAACCUCAAACACAUGUUGCAUAUAUUCAAGAAUCAUGCUUUCGAUUUAUGUUUUUCCCUUCUCUCUAAUCUCUAAUAGAGCUUCCUUUUAUUGGAGUACACAACUUGGUGUGUAAGUUCCAUCUAUUUGACAGAUCUUGAACUUUUCUAUAUCUACAUUUGAAUAGUUAGCAAGUUACUAUCUAUCUUAUAGGAUUUCUUAGUCAAAUCCUCAAAUUCUUUUUUUACAACUCCAAGUCUUUCCUGAGACAACUUCGUCUCAGUUUGCAUCUUGGUUUUUUCUUCCUUGGACUACAGCAAUGUAGUAGCUUUACCGCCCAAAUCCCAAUUUUUCUGUGAAUGGUCUACUUUCGCAAUGUUAUCUAUAGCAAAAAGAACCUUUUUUUUUUCUCUUGCCUUGUAAUGUCAUAUAACGAACUUUUAUCAAGUUGCGAGUUAAAGCAUACAAAAUUGAUCCAAGUGCAUUAUUUAUUUGCAUGUGAAGGAACUCAUUUUCCUUAUUUACUGAUGUACGCCAAUGUGAUCCUGGUUCCGGUCAUAAAAUGAAUAAUAGAAUCGCUUAUAUGAAAUCAAAAACUGUUUAGUGCCAAGGAAAACUAUUAUGCCUGAUUUGUGCAUAAUGAAUGUAAUAAGUUAGAAAUAUUCCUUGGAUAAAACGAGAACUUAAAUGGGGGAAUAAAAUUGUUGCAAUUUAAGCAUCAAACCAACCAAACAAGGCAUAACAAGUGCUCUAAGUCAUCAUUUCAUUCAUUACUACUUUUACAAAAGAAUUAACUGAAAAAUUUUAAUAUUGCCAUGAAAAUUUAAAUGAUAUGCAUAGUAUUUAUAUUUGACAUAUGUAAGUCAUAGAUAAAUCUCUUAUUUAGAUGUCAUAUUAAUGCUAGAAAACAAGGAUGACAGAGAAAGGAAGGAAAUAAUACAUUUAAAAUUGCAUCAAACACAAAUUAGUUCAUAAUUAUGAAUAUAUGAGGGCCGAUGAGAUGUAGAAGCCUUCUUAGUGUCCAUCAUUCAGAUUAACUCAUAACUUAAUAAAUGCCACAACAUUAGGUGUAAUAUCAUGUUAUUUUCAAUCAGUUCCAUAUAAAGUGAAUAACAGAAAUUAGUCAUACUGGAAAGAAAUAAAAAUCAUUUAAAAAAAAAUAUGAACUUACCUUGCCAGAGAUUAGUAAAUCACCUAAGACUUUACUCAACACAAGAAAUGGGGAUUCUCAAAAUAAUUACAAUCAAGCCAUGGAGCUCUUGCCUGUUACUUAGUGUCCUGUUCAUCUUUGCUUUUGUGGCUUCUCUUUCUCAUGCAGAAAUUCAAUUCCAUGAGUAUGCUGUACAUUCUAAUUUAAUUUCUCAUUCUUUAUCAAUCAUAUCAUUCUUGACAGAGGAUUUAUACCUCUAUUUUAAUGAAUACAUAUUGAAGCAAGCCAGUGAAGAAAAAUAUGUUUAUAAAAGAAAAAGCAACAUCGUUUUAGUAUCAAUUGUUGCUUGAAGCCAAGAUCUAGCUCUGGUGAGGAGUGACUUUCACAAUUAAGAAAAUAAAUGUUUUCCUUCUCAAAAUAUUCACAAGUAAGAGAAAAGCAUCCAUACUCCCUAACACUGGGAUAUCGUGCAUAUGUGAAACAAGAUUAAUAAAAAGCUAAUGGUAUGAUAUUACUGCAUAUAAAAACUAGAGUGAGAGUGAGAAAUAGUGAGAGGAAGAGAUAUUUUCCAAUAACCUUCCUUCUAUCUUUGAUGCAUCAUCUACUUCCUUCUCAAGUGAACAUGCUGAUUCAAAUGCCUCAUAAGCCAACUCAGUUGUAACAACAAUUAUCCUUCUCAUUAGUUCAUAGCAAGACUCCACAAAUCGGUACACAUGAUUGCAACAUACUGACCUGCACAUAGUUCUGCCGAAAUUGACAACUGAUAACUCUAUGAAAUGAGAGUUAUUACUGCAAUUCUAGACUUAAAUCAAGACCACUUAGAGAGUAAUGAGGUGUUUUUAUUAUAUUUUGGUUAUAUUUUGCAUAAACAUCCAUUUUAGUUGAGUCUUAAUAAGUUUUGCUUGAAUUAAAGUAAUUUGUGCUCAAAACAUGUGCAUAAUUGUAGGUUUUUAGAAGUUUAUAAUUCAUGAAGGGAUGCUGAGAUAUUAGACUAGCAAGAGGAGGAAAGAAUAUGGCCACAAAAGAAGUGCAGCACAACCGGGAACAAUACAUUGUCAUAGUCGUUGCUAGAGCAACCAUUGCUGUAGCAAUCCGGGAGCACUGAGGGAGAAAACUUAGCGCGGGUCAGCUGCAGAAUUGCGAUCUACAAUUUCCUAAUUUAACUCAUGCACGCCCGAGGCUUUUGUUUACCCUACUUUUUAGUUAUAAAAAGAGGCGCACACUACAUAAAACGGCGGUAAAGAAGUAUCAUUGGAGAAAUUAGAGAGAAAAAAAGAAGAAUAUCAGAAUUCAAGGGAACGGCUGCAGCAGCAUUGAAAAAAUCCCGCAGAGUUAUUUAGAUUCACUUUUUGUCGUUCUCAACAUAUACUUUUCUUCUUUCUUUGACUGAUCUAAUGUAUCUCGUGAACAAUAUGUUGAUGUUUGUUUUUCUCUUUCAAAAUAUGAACUAAAUUUGCUUGUAGUUGAGUGACAAAUAAUCUAAUGGGUUCUUGACUGUUCUUAUGAGUUGCUAUGUUAUUACUGUAGCAUUUUACUCUAGUAGCUAUUAUUAUAAUUGUUAUUUCGGUUGACCACCCAUUUAAUAGUUCAAGUUAAGAUAGAGCCGCAAAAGGGCAUGUCUUAGUGGAUAUUAUUAGAGUAAUACUUAAUCUUAAUUUAAGUUUCCUGGAUUAAGUUUAUCUUGAAUCCCAUAAGAGCUAUACUUGAAGUUAAGAUUUGUGACAAACUAGGCAUAUGUACUCACCUUGUAGGGUGAAGAGAAUAAAGGUUCACAAUGCCAUGCCGUAGGUAGAAUAACAAUUGGUCAUUGCUAAUAUACUUAAGGGUAUGAGAGUUUCAACACGCGACAACUGAGGAUGCAAAAUAAUUCUGCCCAGUGCUGUAGCAAUUAUUGUAACAACUGGUGUUAACUUGAUGAAAAGCAGUCAGCCCAUAAAGAGAGUUUGAUCAUUCAACUACCUUAUUCUCAUUUGAUUCUUCGACGCAUUUUAUUUAAUUUAUUUCAUUACUGCAUUGUUUUAUUUUAUUCUCUCACAAUUAUCAAUUUCAAUAGAACCAAAUUUACAUUUGCUAAUUUCAGAAUUAAGGUAGAUUGCACUAUUGUGAUUGUUGUAGCAUUUCUAGUAACAUCAAUCCCUGUGGAGACGAUCUUAAAUAUUCAUCACUUUAUUACUUGUUGUGUACACUUGCACAUUGACAUCAAUAACAUUUAAUUAUAAUAAUAACCAACAACAACCAUUAUAUAUUUUAAAAAUAAAAAUCAAUUUAUACAUUCAUCUUGUUGGCAUUCAGGAAACAAUUGUUAAAAAUCAUGCAACUAACAAGUUUAUAUCGGGUAAAUAGGAAAAUACUCUAAUUAACCAAUUCUAUAGAUCUCUAAACCAUGAGUAAAUUAAGGAAGAAUGAAUAUAAAAUGUAAAAAGGCCAUUACUGUUUUUGAUCAGCUGCCUGCAGAGAAUUAUAAAUUUUUAGUAAAUUACAUGUAGGUAAUUGAUUGAUUAACAAAUGCACCCAAGAAAAUCAAAUUACACUAAGCAAUUUAUCAUCAAACUAGAAUUAAAACCCUAGAAAUUUACCUUUCUCUUAAGAAUCUGAGUAGCCAAGAACUCGACUUUGAAAUUGGCUAGCAACGACUGGAGAUCGGAGGAGAGGAUAGAGGUUGUGACCUCCCAAGCAGAGUUAGUUUGUCGAAACUGAAUGAGCCACUAAUUUGCUGCCACCCGGUUACAUGAUCCAGUCUUGUCAUGCAAGAAGUGAACGGCUUGCGCCAAUUUGAUUUGCAAGUCCAUUUGCAUCAAGUGAAGCCUAGUUUGUAGAAAAUUCAGUGGUGGAUUUCGAGUAAGAUGGUCGUUAGAAGAGAUGCAGCUUCGGCUUCUCUUGGUGGUGGACUUUCAGUAGGAUGCUGGUUGGAGGAGACGCAACUUUAGCUUCUCUUCGUCAUUGUUUUCUUAUCUUAAGAGGUGAGGGAUUCAAUUCGUUUAAUCAAUUGCAACCGGCCGCAACAGUCAAUCAUCUGGGUUGACUUUUUCAAUCACCCCGUCUAUAACCGUUUCUACUAGUUAUGCUUUGUUUUUUUUUUUUGUCCAUGUGGCAGAUUGUUAUUGGUUAGUUAGUCAAAUCGCAGGCGGUAAAGCUACAACAACUGUAACUUAAGGGGAUCCUUAUGUAGAUUGUCUCAACAAAUCUAGUUGGAUCUAUUCUCUGCACUCGUGAAGCUAUGCGUGUGAUGAGAGACCAACCAAAUGGAGGCCACAUAUUUAACAUGGACUGUGCUGGCUCUGAAGGAUCUAGUACCCCUCUUACUGCUGUGUAAGUCCCCUUCAUUUUUAUUAAUUGAGAGUUUAAUACUAGUGUCAGUGGAAGCUGAAUGUUUCAGAAUGAAAUUUUAACAAUUGAUGUUCAAUACUCCAUUAAUUCUUGAUCAUUUGGAGUUUCUGAGAGUUGCUUGCUUUGUUGUACUACUUCAAACUUGUAGCUAUGGGUCUACAAAAUGUAGUCUCAGGCAGCUGAAGAAACUUGUUUUUUAUUUCUCAAAAUAAAACAUUAUACAUUGAGCGUUAUUUAUAGAUGUAGAGGCUACAUCUUUUUCAAAGAUUACAUACGUGAUUACAAAAGGAAACGUGUCAAUCCGUUCAGUGCGGAUCGUGUCUUUGGCAAGUGCGGAUCAUGCCUUUGAAAACUUCCUUCAAUGCCGUUUUAUUUGACAUUCUCAACACUCCCCCUCAAACUGGUGCAUAGAUGUCUUGCAUGCCUAGCUUGUCUAGGAAUUUUGUAAAUGCUCUACUUGAAAUGGCCUUCGUUAAAAUAUCUGCAAGUUAAUAUUCUGAAUGAAUUUUCGGCAGUUUUAAGAUUUUUUCAUCUAAUUUCUCCUUAAUUAAAAAUCUAUCUACCUCGACGUGUUUUGUUCGAUCGUGUUAAACUGAGUUAUGAGCAAUAUCUCGUGUAGUUUUAUUGUCACAGUAUAGUUGUAUUGGUUGUUGUGAUAGAUAACCCAAGUCUUUUAAGAUAAAGCUUAUCCAUAGCCCUUCACAUACNNNNNNNNNNNNNNNNNNNNNNNNNNNNNNNNNNNNNNNNNNNNNNNNNNNNNNNNNNNNNNNNNNNNNNNNNNNNNNNNNNNNNNNNNNNNNNNNNNNNNNNNNNNNNNNNNNNNNNNNNNNNNNNNNNNNNNNNNNNNNNNNNNNNNNNNNNNNNNNNNNNNNNNNNNNNNNNNNNNNNNNNNNNNNNNNNNNNNNNNNNNNNNNNNNNNNNNNNNNNNNNNNNNNNNNNNNNNNNNNNNNNNNNNNNNNNNNNNNNNNNNNNNNNNNNNNNNNNNNNNNNNNNNNNNNNNNNNNNNNNNNNNNNNNNNNNNNNNNNNNNNNNNNNNNNNNNNNNNNNNNNNNNNNNNNNNNNNNNNNNNNNNNNNNNNNNNNNNNNNNNNNNNNNNNNNNNNNNNNNNNNNNNNNNNNNNNNNNNNNNNNNNNNNNNNNNNNNNNNNNNNNNNNNNNNNNNNNNNNNNNNNNNNNNNNNNNNNNNNNNNNNNNNNNNNNNNNNNNNNNNNNNNNNNNNNNNNNNNNNNNNNNNNNNNNNNNNNNNNNNNNNNNNNNNNNNNNNNNNNNNNNNNNNNNNNNNNNNNNNNNNNNNNNNNNNNNNNNNNNNNNNNNNNNNNNNNNNNNNNNNNNNNNNNNNNNNNNNNNNNNNNNNNNNNNNNNNNNNNNNNNNNNNNNNNNNNNNNNNNNNNNNNNNNNNNNNNNNNNNNNNNNNNNNNNNNNNNNNNNNNNNNNNNNNNNNNNNNNNNNNNNNNNNNNNNNNNNNNNNNNNNNNNNNNNNNNNNNNNNNNNNNNNNNNNNNNNNNNNNNNNNNNNNNNNNNNNNNNNNNNNNNNNNNNNNNNNNNNNNNNNNNNNNNNNNNNNNNNNNNNNNNNNNNNNNNNNNNNNNNNNNNNNNNNNNNNNNNNNNNNNNNNNNNNNNNNNNNNNNNNNNNNNNNNNNNNNNNNNNNNNNNNNNNNNNNNNNNNNNNNNNNNNNNNNNNNNNNNNNNNNNNNNNNNNNNNNNNNNNNNNNNNNNNNNNNNNNNNNNNNNNNNNNNNNNNNNNNNNNNNNNNNNNNNNNNNNNNNNNNNNNNNNNNNNNNNNNNNNNNNNNNNNNNNNNNNNNNNNNNNNNNNNNNNNNNNNNNNNNNNNNNNNNNNNNNNNNNNNNNNNNNNNNNNNNNNNNNNNNNNNNNNNNNNNNNNNNNNNNNNNNNNNNNNNNNNNNNNNNNNNNNNNNGAUCUUAAAUAUUCAUCACUUUAUUACUUGUUGUGUACACUUGCACAUUGACAUCAAUAACAUUUAAUUAUAAUAAUAACCAACAACAACCAUUAUAUAUUUUAAAAAUAAAAAUCAAUUUAUACAUUCAUCUUGUUGGCAUUCAGGAAACAAUUGUUAAAAAUCAUGCAACUAACAAGUUUAUAUCGGGUAAAUAGGAAAAUACUCUAAUUAACCAAUUCUAUAGAUCUCUAAACCAUGAGUAAAUUAAGGAAGAAUGAAUAUAAAAUGUAAAAAGGCCAUUACUGUUUUUGAUCAGCUGCCUGCAGAGAAUUAUAAAUUUUUAGUAAAUUACAUGUAGGUAAUUGAUUGAUUAACAAAUGCACCCAAGAAAAUCAAAUUACACUAAGCAAUUUAUCAUCAAACUAGAAUUAAAACCCUAGAAAUUUACCUUUCUCUUAAGAAUCUGAGUAGCCAAGAACUCGACUUUGAAAUUGGCUAGCAACGACUGGAGAUCGGAGGAGAGGAUAGAGGUUGUGACCUCCCAAGCAGAGUUAGUUUGUCGAAACUGAAUGAGCCACUAAUUUGCUGCCACCCGGUUACAUGAUCCAGUCUUGUCAUGCAAGAAGUGAACGGCUUGCGCCAAUUUGAUUUGCAAGUCCAUUUGCAUCAAGUGAAGCCUAGUUUGUAGAAAAUUCAGUGGUGGAUUUCGAGUAAGAUGGUCGUUAGAAGAGAUGCAGCUUCGGCUUCUCUUGGUGGUGGACUUUCAGUAGGAUGCUGGUUGGAGGAGACGCAACUUUAGCUUCUCUUCGUCAUUGUUUUCUUAUCUUAAGAGGUGAGGGAUUCAAUUCGUUUAAUCAAUUGCAACCGGCCGCAACAGUCAAUCAUCUGGGUUGACUUUUUCAAUCACCCCGUCUAUAACCGUUUCUACUAGUUAUGCUUUGUUUUUUUUUUUUUGUCCAUGUGGCAGAUUGUUAUUGGUUAGUUAGUCAAAUCGCAGGCGGUAAAGCUACAACAACUGUAACUUAAGGGGAUCCUUAUGUAGAUUGUCUCAACAAAUCUAGUUGGAUCUAUUCUCUGCACUCGUGAAGCUAUGCGUGUGAUGAGAGACCAACCAAAUGGAGGCCACAUAUUUAACAUGGACUGUGCUGGCUCUGAAGGAUCUAGUACCCCUCUUACUGCUGUGUAAGUCCCCUUCAUUUUUAUUAAUUGAGAGUUUAAUACUAGUGUCAGUGGAAGCUGAAUGUUUCAGAAUGAAAUUUUAACAAUUGAUGUUCAAUACUCCAUUAAUUCUUGAUCAUUUGGAGUUUCUGAGAGUUGCUUGCUUUGUUGUACUACUUCAAACUUGUAGCUAUGGGUCUACAAAAUGUAGUCUCAGGCAGCUGAAGAAACUUGUUUUUUAUUUCUCAAAAUAAAACAUUAUACAUUGAGCGUUAUUUAUAGAUGUAGAGGCUACAUCUUUUUCAAAGAUUACAUACGUGAUUACAAAAGGAAACGUGUCAAUCCGUUCAGUGCGGAUCGUGUCUUUGGCAAGUGCGGAUCAUGCCUUUGAAAACUUCCUUCAAUGCCGUUUUAUUUGACAUUCUCAACACUCCCCCUCAAACUGGUGCAUAGAUGUCUUGCAUGCCUAGCUUGUCUAGGAAUUUUGUAAAUGCUCUACUUGAAAUGGCCUUCGUUAAAAUAUCUGCAAGUUAAUAUUCUGAAUGAAUUUUCGGCAGUUUUAAGAUUUUUUCAUCUAAUUUCUCCUUAAUUAAAAAUCUAUCUACCUCGACGUGUUUUGUUCGAUCGUGUUAAACUGAGUUAUGAGCAAUAUCUCGUGUAGUUUUAUUGUCACAGUAUAGUUGUAUUGGUUGUUGUGAUAGAUAACCCAAGUCUUUUAAGAUAAAGCUUAUCCAUAGCCCUUCACAUACUCCAAGGGCCAUGCCUUGAUAUUCUACUUCAGCGCUCGAACGGGCAACGACAUGUUGUUUUUUGAUUCUCCAUGUGACAAGGUUGCCUCCUACAAAUGUAAAGUAGCCUGAAGUAGAGUGUCUAUCACUAGCUGACCCGGCCCAAUCUGCAUCAGUAUAAACUUUUAUGUUGUUGUAAUUUUCAUUUUUGGAAAAUAGGAUUCUUUUUCCUGGAUUUAACUUCAGGUACCUCAGGAUCCGCAUUACUGCUUCCAUAUGUUGUUCUCCGGGAUUAUGCAUAAACUGACUUACAACACUCAAUGCAUAAGCAAGAUCUGGCCUUGUGUGGGACAAGUACAUCAAUCUUCCAAUCAGUCUUUGAUAUAUUCCUUUGUCUACUGGAACUUAGUUUGGGGUAAUACAGAACAUUAGUCCUUCUUCUAUUGGGGUGUCAAUAGGCUAACAAGCUGUCAUUCUUGUUUUAUGCAAUAGAUCUAAGGCAUAUUUCCUUUGAGACAGGAAGAUUCCUUCCAAGAAAGUAUUUUAAGGCUCCUAAAUCCUUCAUCUCAAACUCUCUCGACAAAUACUUCUGAAGAGCUUUUCUUUCUUCUUUGUUGUUACCUGUAACUACCAUGUCAUCCACAUAGAUGAUAAGGGCAGUGAUUUUACCUUGCCCUUUUUUUUAUAAACAAGGUAUGAUCUGAAUUGCUUUGGUUAUAGCAAAAAACACUCAUAAUCUUUGUGAAUUUCCUGAACCAUGCUCUUGGGGAUUGCUCCAACCCGUAUAAUGAUUUCUUCAAUUUGCAUACUUCCUGAUGGAGUCGUUUUGGUCCACUGCAUCCUGUUGGUAGAUCCAUAUAAAUUUCUUCAGACAGAUCUCCAUGAAGGAAAGCAUUCUUUACAUCGAAUUGUUGCACUGGCCAAUCCAAGUUUGCUGCUAAUGAUAAUAAGAUACGAAUAAUAUUAAUUUUUGCUACCGAUACAAAUGUAUCAGUAUAAUUUAUCUCGUAGGUUUGGGUGUAACCCUUAGCUAUGAGCCUUGCUUUGUAUCGUUCAAUGGAACCAUAUGCCUUGUACUUUAUAGUGUAGAUCCAUCGGCAACUUUCCGGUGGAAGAUCAACUAGUUCCCAUGUUUGAUUUUUCUGAAGAUAUCUCAUUUCGUCAUGCAUAGCUGCUUUCCACUUUAGGUCUUUUAAGGUUUCUUGCAUACUGUUAGAGAUAGAUACAGUAGAUAAUUGAUUCAUAAAUGACUGAUUUAAUUCUAACAAGCGAUGGUUAGACACAAAAUGACUCAUAAGGUAUUUGACUCUACUAGAGAGGUCAUGCUCAUAUGUGGGUUUAGAGAUACCUCUAUAUUGACGCUGAUGAAGUAUUCUUCUGAUUAGACUAGGACUUGUGGUAGGAACAUCCUCUGUAAACGAUUGGUUAAGUAUUUCUUCAUGUGGUUCUUCAUAAGACUCGUUCUCGAUUAUGGUUGUGUAUGAGUUAUUUUGCUUCCCAAAUGUGUCUUACUUAUUUCAGCCCGAGAAUCAUCACCAUUUUCUUUUCUAGUAUCUUGAAGGUUUACUACCUCAAUGGAGGAUUGAUCUUAUUUAGGUGGAAGAUAUGUAAAAGUAUGAAUUUCCUCUUCAUUAUACUCCCAUUGAAAUUUAGGCUCCGAUAGGUAGUACAUGAUAUCUUCAUGAAAGACGACAUCCAUGGUAAUGUAUAUUUUUCUUGACGGAGGAUGAUGGCAUCGGUACCCAUUUUGAUGUAAGACAUGCCCUACAAACACACAACGUACUGCUCGAGGACAUAAUUUGUCUUGUUGCGGCAAAUGAACGAAGGCAACACAACCAAACACUUGUGGGGGUAAAUUCGACACAUUUGGUGACAUAAUUGCUUCAUUUAGAACCUGGAAAUGAGUCUGGAAUCUAAUGGAGCUUGAAGGUGUUCGAUUGAUCAAGUAUGUUAUGGAUGCCAGUGCUUCUCCCUAAUAAUAUAGUGGCAUGUGGGCCUGGAUUAGUGAUGCUCGAACAAAUUUUAUUAAAUGUUUGUUUUUUCGUUCAGCAACACCAUUUUGUUGGAGUGUGCCCACACAAGUAGUUUGGUGGACAAUUCCUUGUGAUUUCAGAAACUGUUGAAUUGUUGUGCUCAUAUACUCGCCUUCAUUAUCAGUAUGUAGUGAAAUGCAAGUUAUGCAACCCAAGAGGGGGGGUGAAUUGAGAUUUUAAAAAUUAUGCAAUACAAUUCGCACAACAAAUCAAUCUAACGCCUUAAUAAAAUAGAAAACAAUAAAUUCAAAUAAGCGUAAAAAUAAAAGAGUAAGGGAAGAGAAAAACAAACACACAGAUUUUUACGUGGUUCGGCAAUCCAUGCCUACGUCCACGCCUCCAAACCAACCAAGCUCGAGGAUUUCACUAUCCGAGCCUCCCAAGGCUUCAAGUUCUUACAAUUGACUUACAAGGUGUCAAUGAAUCUUUACAAUCAAGAGAUUAUCUCCCCAAUCUUGAAGAUAUGUAAAAGUAUGAAUUUCCUCUUCAUUAUACUCCCAUUGAAAUUUAGGCUCCGAUAGGUAGUACAUGAUAUCUUCAUGAAAGACGACAUCCAUGGUAAUGUAUAUUUUUCUUGACGGAGGAUGAUGGCAUCGGUACCCAUUUUGAUGUAAGACAUGCCCUACAAACACACAACGUACUGCUCGAGGACAUAAUUUGUCUUGUUGCGGCAAAUGAACGAAGGCAACACAACCAAACACUUGUGGGGGUAAAUUCGACACAUUUGGUGACAUAAUUGCUUCAUUUAGAACCUGGAAAUGAGUCUGGAAUCUAAUGGAGCUUGAAGGUGUUCGAUUGAUCAAGUAUGUUAUGGAUGCCAGUGCUUCUCCCUAAUAAUAUAGUGGCAUGUGGGCCUGGAUUAGUGAUGCUCGAACAAAUUUUAUUAAAUGUUUGUUUUUUCGUUCAGCAACACCAUUUUGUUGGAGUGUGCCCACACAAGUAGUUUGGUGGACAAUUCCUUGUGAUUUCAGAAACUGUUGAAUUGUUGUGCUCAUAUACUCGCCUUCAUUAUCAGUAUGUAGUGAAAUGCAAGUUAUGCAACCCAAGAGGGGGGGUGAAUUGAGAUUUUAAAAAUUAUGCAAUACAAUUCGCACAACAAAUCAAUCUAACGCCUUAAUAAAAUAGAAAACAAUAAAUUCAAAUAAGCGUAAAAAUAAAAGAGUAAGGGAAGAGAAAAACAAACACACAGAUUUUUACGUGGUUCGGCAAUCCAUGCCUACGUCCACGCCUCCAAACCAACCAAGCUCGAGGAUUUCACUAUCCGAGCCUCCCAAGGCUUCAAGUUCUUACAAUUGACUUACAAGGUGUCAAUGAAUCUUUACAAUCAAGAGCUGCUGUACGGCCAAGGCGGAUGUACGGUACAGCAGAUUAUGCAUAAACUGACUUACAACACUCAAUGCAUAAGCAAGAUCUGGCCUUGUGUGGGACAAGUACAUCAAUCUUCCAAUCAGUCUUUGAUAUAUUCCUUUGUCUACUGGAACUUAGUUUGGGGUAAUACAGAACAUUAGUCCUUCUUCUAUUGGGGUGUCAAUAGGCUAACAAGCUGUCAUUCUUGUUUUAUGCAAUAGAUCUAAGGCAUAUUUCCUUUGAGACAGGAAGAUUCCUUCCAAGAAAGUAUUUUAAGGCUCCUAAAUCCUUCAUCUCAAACUCUCUCGACAAAUACUUCUGAAGAGCUUUUCUUUCUUCUUUGUUGUUACCUGUAACUACCAUGUCAUCCACAUAGAUGAUAAGGGCAGUGAUUUUACCUUGCCCUUUUUUUUAUAAACAAGGUAUGAUCUGAAUUGCUUUGGUUAUAGCAAAAAACACUCAUAAUCUUUGUGAAUUUCCUGAACCAUGCUCUUGGGGAUUGCUCCAACCCGUAUAAUGAUUUCUUCAAUUUGCAUACUUCCUGAUGGAGUCGUUUUGGUCCACUGCAUCCUGUUGGUAGAUCCAUAUAAAUUUCUUCAGACAGAUCUCCAUGAAGGAAAGCAUUCUUUACAUCGAAUUGUUGCACUGGCCAAUCCAAGUUUGCUGCUAAUGAUAAUAAGAUACGAAUAAUAUUAAUUUUUGCUACCGAUACAAAUGUAUCAGUAUAAUUUAUCUCGUAGGUUUGGGUGUAACCCUUAGCUAUGAGCCUUGCUUUGUAUCGUUCAAUGGAACCAUAUGCCUUGUACUUUAUAGUGUAGAUCCAUCGGCAACUUUCCGGUGGAAGAUCAACUAGUUCCCAUGUUUGAUUUUUCUGAAGAUAUCUCAUUUCGUCAUGCAUAGCUGCUUUCCACUUUAGGUCUUUUAAGGUUUCUUGCAUACUGUUAGAGAUAGAUACAGUAGAUAAUUGAUUCAUAAAUGACUGAUUUAAUUCUAACAAGCGAUGGUUAGACACAAAAUGACUCAUAAGGUAUUUGACUCUACUAGAGAGGUCAUGCUCAUAUGUGGGUUUAGAGAUACCUCUAUAUUGACGCUGAUGAAGUAUUCUUCUGAUUAGACUAGGACUUGUGGUAGGAACAUCCUCUGUAAACGAUUGGUUAAGUAUUUCUUCAUGUGGUUCUUCAUAAGACUCGUUCUCGAUUAUGGUUGUGUAUGAGUUAUUUUGCUUCCCAAAUGUGUCUUACUUAUUUCAGCCCGAGAAUCAUCACCAUUUUCUUUUCUAGUAUCUUGAAGGUUUACUACCUCAAUGGAGGAUUGAUCUUAUUUAGGUGGAAGAUAUGUAAAAGUAUGAAUUUCCUCUUCAUUAUACUCCCAUUGAAAUUUAGGCUCCGAUAGGUAGUACAUGAUAUCUUCAUGAAAGACGACAUCCAUGGUAAUGUAUAUUUUUCUUGACGGAGGAUGAUGGCAUCGGUACCCAUUUUGAUGUAAGACAUGCCCUACAAACACACAACGUACUGCUCGAGGACAUAAUUUGUCUUGUUGCGGCAAAUGAACGAAGGCAACACAACCAAACACUUGUGGGGGUAAAUUCGACACAUUUGGUGACAUAAUUGCUUCAUUUAGAACCUGGAAAUGAGUCUGGAAUCUAAUGGAGCUUGAAGGUGUUCGAUUGAUCAAGUAUGUUAUGGAUGCCAGUGCUUCUCCCUAAUAAUAUAGUGGCAUGUGGGCCUGGAUUAGUGAUGCUCGAACAAAUUUUAUUAAAUGUUUGUUUUUUCGUUCAGCAACACCAUUUUGUUGGAGUGUGCCCACACAAGUAGUUUGGUGGACAAUUCCUUGUGAUUUCAGAAACUGUUGAAUUGUUGUGCUCAUAUACUCGCCUUCAUUAUCAGUAUGUAGUGAAAUGCAAGUUAUGCAACCCAAGAGGGGGGGUGAAUUGAGAUUUUAAAAAUUAUGCAAUACAAUUCGCACAACAAAUCAAUCUAACGCCUUAAUAAAAUAGAAAACAAUAAAUUCAAAUAAGCGUAAAAAUAAAAGAGUAAGGGAAGAGAAAAACAAACACACAGAUUUUUACGUGGUUCGGCAAUCCAUGCCUACGUCCACGCCUCCAAACCAACCAAGCUCGAGGAUUUCACUAUCCGAGCCUCCCAAGGCUUCAAGUUCUUACAAUUGACUUACAAGGUGUCAAUGAAUCUUUACAAUCAAGAGAUUAUCUCCCCAAUCUUUUUACCCCAAGUGUUUCUCACACUUAUACACUCACAAUUUGAUAAGAAAUGAAAAUUACAAUAAAAACUCUCUUUAAGAGUGGAUAUGCAAAUAAUAGCUCAACAAUGAUUCAAUCUAUGAUGAUUUGCGUUUUGGAAGCUCAAUAUAUGUUGUAUGAUCUUAUAUUUGCUUGCAUUAGUUCUUAGAAUGAAGUUUGAGUUGAGUUUUUAUAGUUAAAGCCCGAAAACUAGUCGUUAUAGGCAAGUUCCCGCGCCCAAGAGGGUAGCCGCUCAGGAACAGUGAUAUUACCAUUAUUUUUGAAUUUUGCUACAUUAACACUGUUUACUAAAAUUACACUUUGGCCCAAAAUUUUUAUAAUUAUACUAUAGCCCAAAACGUCACAAAACUUUACAAAUAAAUCCAAUUUCAGAAUUUCUUAAAAAUAGUUAUCUUUCCAAAAAUUUUUGAAAUUAUGAUAUGGCCCCAAAGAUAUUAUUAUUUUUCAAAGAGAUCCUUUUCAAAUUUAGCAUAAUACCUAUAUUUUUCAAAGUUCUCAAAACCUUUCACUUUAAUCCAAAAAUUGAAAAUAUGAGAUUUUCCUCAAGCGGCCAGCUGCUAGCCUCAGGCGGUUAGCAGCUUCCCCUCUGUCCAAUUUUGGAUUUCAAGUGUUUAGCUUACAUUCGGGUCCUCAAAAUUUCAUAAAUUAUAAUAUGGCCCAAAACGCUUCAAAUCUUUACAAAUAAGUCCAACUUUGAAUUUCAAAAUAAUACUUAUUAAAAUCAAAGAUUUCAAAACUUAGCAUUUAAGUCUAAAUUACUCAAAUCCACAAAAUACUUUUCUUUAUAAAAAUUAAACCUUUUAGUUUAUGAAAAGUAUUUAAUUAAAUUAAUCUCUUGAACUUCUCAAAUGCUAAAUCAUGCAUCAAUUAAAUCAUACCGGCUUUACAAGAAUUUAUCGCACUAAUUUGUUCGUUGAGCUCUAAACUAUAUUCUUGAUGUCGCCGUUAUUCGUUGAGUGUCUUCAAUCUUGAUUUCACUUGAUUUAUUUGCAUAAAUAUUAUCCUUAAAAAACUAGUGACAAAUGUGAAAUACAAUAUUUAUUAUUUUUAACUAAGACACAUGUUUGUUAUCAUCAAAAUUACAUUAUGUGUAGCCUUUUAGGCUAACAUGUAGAACUCGAAUUUGUGUCUGAAAUUGAGUCGUCACCAUCUUAUGAAAUCUUUGAAAUAAAAAGUUUACUGCGUCUUUUGAUUUCAUCAAAAAAAUCCAUGUCAUUCUGCUACAAUCAUCAAUAAAUGUAAUAAACCAAUGAGCUCCUCCAAUUGUAGAAACUUUAGAUGGUCCCCACACAUUAAAAUGUACUAUCAUGAAAGGAACUGAAUUCUUAUUUAAGGACAAUGAAAAAGUAGUUCAAUGGCUUUUUAAAAGUUCAUAAACAUCACAUUUAAAGUUACAAACAUCAAAUUUCAUAAACAAAUUAGGAAAUAAUUUUUUAAAGUAACCAAAUGACAAAUGCCCUAAACGUCUAUGCCAUAACCAAAUUUCUAAUUUCCUUUUUUUCAUGGAACUAUCUGCUACUAAUGCGGGGCUUAACUUUUCAGUGUUUGUUGAUGUCAUCUCCAGGUAAUACAAGUUGCCUCGUCUAAUACCAUAACCAAUCGUUUGCUUUGUUUGGAUGUCCUUAAACACGCAAUGAUCAGGGCAAAAAAUUACAACACAUGAUAAGUAAGUGGUUAUUUGAGACACAGAUAAAAGAUUAUAAUCUAAAGAUGGAACAAUUAACACAAAGUCUAAAUUUUAUUUAUCUGUGAGUCUUAAAGAUCUUUCCCUAAUAACUGAGGUUGUGGUUCUAUUUGCAGUGGAAACAUAUUUUUGUGAAGAUGGUUUCAAUUGAGAAACUUAUUAAGAAUCAAAAGUCAUAUGAUCACUUGCACCAGAAUUAAUUAUCCAUGUACUAUUAAUAACAGGUGUAAGAGUUUUAAGGGCUUUACCUGGACUGACAGAGGUUGCAAUUUGCGCUGAAGAUUCUUUUCUAAGAUCUGUAGUGGAUGUGGAUUCAGCUACUGCAGUUUUUAAUCCCUACUUGGUGUUCUUCUUUUGAGUAUCCCAUCAGUCAGGAUAUCCAAUGAUUUAAAAGCAUUGUUCGUUCGUAUGACCCUUCUUCCUACAAUGAGUGCAAUAGAGUGAUGAUUUGUUAACAAGUUUCCUUUGAGGCUGCUGUCGUACUAUCAUAGUAGACGUUUCUGAUUUGACCUUCUUGUUUAUUUUGCUUUGUCAUAUAUCUUCUUUUCGGAUAAGAGAAUAACAUUCUUUUAAGUCUGGGAUAAUAUAUUUUCGUAGAAUUUCUCCACAAACUUGGUCAAAUUCUUCAUCUAGCCUAGCAAGAAAAAUGUGCACUCUCAAUCUUUCAACAGACUUUUUGUAUAUUACAACAUCUUCUGAAUUUUUCAUGACCACUUUAUCUCGGUGAUCAAGUUCUCAAAAUACUUUGAUCAAUUCUCAGUAAAAUUUAGAGAGUGAUUGUUCAUUUUGUUUGGUAGAGAACGCUUUCUAGUUUAGAGUGAAAACUUGAUAUUCGUCGCUUCCAUCAUGGAAGGCUUUUGAUAAUGCAUUCCAGAUUUCGUAGGCUGUAGGAAUUCGUAAAUAUCGCUUCAUGAUCUCAGGAGACAUGGAUAUGAGUAACCAUCUUUUUUAUUUUUGAUUCUCACUAUUCAAUUUCUCAUAUUCCUUUGAAGACUCGUCAGAUGGUUUUGUGCUGCUACAAAUAUAUGAGAGUUUUUCUCUUUCUGCGAGAUGCAUCUCCAUUAUUUGAGACCAACCAUCGUAGUUUAUCUCAGUAAAGAUAAUUCCGGCAUUAAAUACCUCAUCAGAUUGAACAGAUUGAAUGACAACAGGAGUAGAUUUAGUUGAAAUUUUCUCCAUUUUUUUUGGUGUAUAGUUUCAAACAAGGGAAAUAUAAUUUUUUUGAGAAAAAACGACAAGUCAUUUUGUUUCUACUUAGUAAAACGAUAUGUCUGUUUUGAUGGAAUAAAAAUGACAGGUCAUUUUUAAAGGCUGCUGCACUUCUAAGAAUAAAAUGUCACGUCAUUUUGUUUCUGCUUAACAAACCGACAUGUUGGUUACUGUGGAAUAAAAAUGACAAGUCAUUUUUCAAUAUGCUGCACUUCUGUAGAUGACAACGACAUGUCGUUUUGAAUCAUCUUCAACCUCUGGAGCGCGUGCGGGCGCGUGAGGGUUAGCCGUGAAUUCGGGAAGUGCCUGGAGGCGCGUGCGACUGUGUUGAGAUGCGAAAUUUUUACAAUUUGCUUACUGGAAACUGAGAAAUUUGAUGAAAUUCUCGGUUUUUUAAAGACAUUAUCUUGGAAAAUAUAUGAGACUGUUGAUGGAUUUAUAAACUCAAGUUUUUACGUAUAGGUGGCUUGUUUUUUUAUUGGCAUGGGUUUCUGUAAUGCUAGGAAUGAUUUUAAGGAAGAAAAAUGGUGGAAAAUGGUUGUGGGAAAGAGUUGGUUUCCUCUGUUUUUGUUACAAACAGAGCAGCGUACCUCGUUCUAAUACCAUAAAGAAAUUUGUUUUUCAUUUCUCAAAAUAAAACAUUAUACAUUGAGCGGUAUUUUCAUUUCUCGCCUCCGCCCCCCACCACUCCCUCGGCUCCCGGAUGUACGGUACAGCAGGGAUCGCCGCCGCCUCCGACGGGUGACGACGGUGGUGGUGGGGUGAGUACUGGGUUAGUGGUGGGGUUAGCGAUUGGUGUGCUGGCGGUAAUUGUAGUGGUGAGCCUGUUGUUUUUGUGUUGCGCAAGAAGAGGAGGAGGAAAGAUGACGAGGCCGGUUACUAUAUACCCCCACCUCCUCUUGCCCCAAAAGGUUUUUGCUUUUAACUUUUUUUUCUUUUCUUUAAAUUAGUAUUUUUAUUUAUUUCAAAUUGCUUCUGGUUUUGUUGAUUUUAAUCAUUUUGUGCGUUUCCGUGACCUGUUUUUGCAGUGUUGUUCUUGAUUUAUGAUUAAGAUUUGAUUCAUCCUUCGCAUUGCAUGAAUUUAAAUCGGACUUAGUUUUUUUAUUUUUCUUGCAUUUGUGUAAUUCAAUUUUGACAGUAUUGUUUGAUUGAUGCAUGUAUCAAUGAAACCAUCUUAUCUUUGAUUUUUACUUGGUUCUCUGAAUUAUUUUGUACUUUGUAGACAUGGGUGAUAUGCAACUGCAUGUGUGCUGUCUAAUGUCUGUGGAUUGCAACGGAGUCAAAUUUGCUCUUUUGGAGGUGUUGUGAUAUUUUCAUAUUCGAGAUUAUUACUAGAAUUGGGACAUUUUCGGAAUAAUUUCAGUGGUCCUUGUUUUUGUUACCAUAUAGUUGGCCAAAGUCUCAUUCUACCAAACCGGCAAACUCCAUUCCAAAAAUAUGUUUAUUGCAAAAUCUAAAAUCUUGAACUACUUAGGGUAACACAUAAGUUUUAAACUUCUAGUAAAUUAUUGUUCUUUGUUUUACCUUUUCGAUUUUGAUGCUUUCCAUUCACAUAUUUAUCUACAGCUUGUGGCCAAGACUCUUGAUUUUAUCUCAGUUGACUAAGUUACAUCUUAUCAUUAGGAGUGCCAAAAAUGGUUUCCUGCUAUUGUUUUUUUUUCUUGAGAUUUUGAGGACCUUGAAAAUUGCUUUUUGAUGUUGAAUUGUUAAUUUUGAUUUCAUUACGCAUUUUAAUUCAAGGUGUGAUGCCAUAUUGGUAAUACAUUGUGAGCAAGUAAUAGUCAUUUCUCUAGUUUCUUUGAGUAAUUAAUUUUAAAAAAAGUGUUUACAGGCUGUACAAAUAACUCCUUGACUAACAUCUCCAGAGAUUCCUGCUUCAAUUAAUAACUAUUGAGUAUUAUAAGUAAUUUUUUUCAGCUUCCUUUAUGAUUUGUCAGUUGACCCUUACGGCGGCAGACAGCAGCACUGGCAGCAAAAUGUCCCACCUCCUGCAGCACAUGUAGUCACACAGCCACCAAGGUCGUCUCCUCCACCUCUGGUCGCAUCAAGCCCACCACAUUCGCCAGUAUACACUCCCUCUCCUCCUCUACCACCACCACCUUUCAUAAGCAACAGUGGAGGCUCUGGCUCUAAUUAUUCAGGGUCUGAGGCACCAAUCCUACCUCAAUCACCUGGCCUCUCAUUAGGUUUUUCGAAGAGCACUUUUACAUACGAAGAAUUAGCAAGGGCAACAGAUGGCUUCUCAGAUGCUAACCUCCUCAGACAAGAUGGUUUUGGUUAUGUGCACAGAGGAGUCCUACCAAAUGGUAAGGAAGUUGCAAUCAAGCAGCUGAAAGCUGGAAGUUGGUAGGGAGAACGUGAGUUUCAGGCAGAAGUUGAAAUUAUUAGCCGAGUACAUCACAAACAUCUUGUAUCCUUGGUUGGAUACUAUACAGCUGGAUCACAAAGAAUGCUUGUGUAUGAGUUUGUUCUAAACAACACUUUGGUGUUUCACUUGCAUGGUAAGUUUGCAUAUGAAGACCUUAGAUAACUCGUUAUGUGAACUUAUGUGUUGGAAAGUACUUUUUAAGCUCUUCUUGUACUUAUUCUAUUGGCCUUCAUUAUGUUGUUAAGGCACCAAAUGCAAUUAAGAUAAUGGUUCACAGAUGCUUUUGUAAUAGAUGUUGUUUAGCUGAUGUUAGAAAUUUAUUAAGGAUCUGACAGAAAGCGUAUUGCAGGGAAGGGUCAACCUACCAUGGAUUGGCCAACAAGAAUCAAAAUUGCUUUAGGUUCUGCGAAAGGACUGGCUUACCUCCAUGAUGAUUGUAAGAUCUCUCUCUCUAACUUCAUGGACUGUGAUUUCUGAUUGUACAGUGAUUUACCCUAAUAUCUUGUCUAUUGGUACUUUCGGGUCAUCCUAAAAUAAUUCAUCAUGAUAUUAAAGUAGCUAAUAUACUUUUGGAUUUCAAGUUUGAGGCAAAGGUAUUGAUUGCAUUAGUGAAUUUUUUAAACUCAAAAUUUUUGAACUAGUGGAAACACAAGCAGAACCUAAUAUCAAAUUCUAUCUAGCACCAGUUUGAUUUGAAAUUUUCGUAGGUAUCAAUUAUAUUUGUGAUGUUAAUCUUGAAGUUACUUUCCUUAGGUUGCUGAUUUUGGACUAGCAAAGAUUGCUUCUGAUGUUAAUACUCAUGUCUCCACCCGAGUGAUGGGUACAUUUGGGUAAGACCGACUACUUUGAUAUUCUUUUUUCUAAUUGUCCUAUCCACUGAUGAUGAACCAUAUUGAGUUUGAGUUGAACUAGAGUGUGGCCCAAAAAUUUCAUAAGUUAUAUUUGUUUCCCCAAGAUAUCUCCAAACCUCAUUGUGAUUGCUUGAACUCAAUUGCACUAAACUCUCUUUUUUUUGGGGAAAUUAUCAUUGCACCAUUUUUAUUUUUUCUUAUAUUCAUCUAACCACUGCAAAAUUUUAACAUGUACUUUGCAGUACUUUUCUUUUCACAUUUGUAUCAACUAGCCACUUUUACAUUAACACUAUUAAGUAAUUUAUAAAAAAAUGAUAAUUUUACCCUUAAAUAAAUUAAAAGAUUAUUUUAUCUUAUAAAAACUUUUAAAAUUAAAAAUUAUAAUCAUAAAAAUAUCCCUAAAUUUAAUAAAAAAUAAAUCCCAAAUAGAGGUGCUCAAUUGAUUUUUACUAAAUUUAGAUUUUACAAAAUUUUAAUAAUUAUUUUUAUUAAAAAUUAUAAUUUUACAAAAUUUUAAUAAAAAUAAAUGAAUUUAUUUAUUAAAAAAUUAUAAUUUUGUAAAAUUUUAUUAAAAUAACUGAAUUUAUUUCUUAAAAGAAUAAAUCCUAAAAUUUUAAUAAUUUAGGGUAUUUUUAUUAAAUCCCAAAAUUUUGCAAUUAUUUUUAUAAUUAUAAUUUUACACUGCUGUACGGCCAAGGCGGAUGUACGGUACAGCAGAUUUAUUUUUAUUAAAUUUAGGGAUAUUUUUAUUAUUAUAUUUUUUAAUUUUUUAAAUUUUUUUAUAAAAUAAAAUGGUCUUUUAAUUUAUUUGGGGGUAAAAUUAUUAUUUUAUUAAAAUUAUUUAAUAGUGUUAAUGUAAAAGUGACUAGUUGAUACAAAUGUGAAAAGAAAGGUGGUGCAAAGUACAUGUUAUAAUUUUUUAGUGGUUGAAUGAACAUAAGACAAAAUAAAGAUGGUGCAAUGAUAAUUUCUCUUUUUUUUAUUUGUUUCAUUACAUUUUAUAUUGGAGUUUGAAGUUGGCUUCAUCUGUUCAUAGUGAUCUGUUUUAAGGCAGCUGGUUCUGCUAUGAUUGUAACCCUUAUUAUUGUUGUUAAUCUUUUCAGUUGAUUCUAAUGAUAAUGAUCAGAUCUAUUUUUUUGGUUUAUUUUUCUAGAUAGGUUUAGAGUUUUGAUGAGUGAGAUUUAUAUGCUCACUCAGGACUUUGAAUUAGCUAAUUUUUCAUUUUCUUAUAUGCUUGGCACCUGCAGAUACCUGGCUCCAGAAUAUGCUUCAAGUGGGAAACUCACAGAGAAAUCAGAUGUUUUCUCCUUUGGUGUCAUGCUUUUGGAAUUGAUUACUGGUCGUCGACCUGUCGACUCAACCCAUACUUUUGUGGAAGACAGUUUGGUGGAUUGGGUGAGUAAUAUUUUUUUUUUCCCCUUCUUUUCUCCAAUCACGGGAGUCCAGUUAUGGCUAUGAAAUCUUGGAUAUCACAGGUAACUAACUAAAUUUGUUGGCAUUACAGGCUAGGGCUUUGCUUAACAAAGAGAUCUUCAAUGACAUGGUGAAGGCUGACAUAAAACCUGAUGCACAUGCUUACAACAUUCUUGCUAAAGGUUAUGUCCGUGCACAAGAACCAGAAAAAGCCGAAGAGCUACUAAUGACUAUGAUUGAAUUGGGAUUCCACCCGAAUGUAGUUGUUUUCACAACCGUCAUCAGUGGGUGGUGCAGUGAUGGUAGCAUGGAUCGUGCAAUUGAGGUUUUUGACAAGAUGUGUGAACAUGGGGUUUCUCCCAAUUUGAAGACUUUUGAGACCCUAAUGUGGGGAUACAACGAAGCCAAGCAACCAUGGAGAGCUGAAGAAAUACUCCAAAUCAUGAAAGCAUUUGGAGUCCACCCUCAGAAAUCCACCUUCUUGCUUCUUGCAGAAGCUUGGCGUCCCACUGGAUUGACCAAGGAGGCAAAAAGGAUUCUAAGUAAAAUCAAAAAUAAGGAAAGGACCAAUGAAAUGGAGGCAGAGGAAGAGAUACCAGUUGAAAGCUUAGAGACACUAUAUCACAAAGAAGCUACAAGUGCCUCCUAUCCUAAUCUUUUACAGAUACCAAAUGUAGUUAGCAGCGAUAAAAAAGGGUCAGCUGCAGCUCUUAAAAAAGGUCGAAUGCUGUUAAGAGAUACUGAUUCUUCUUUGGACUGCUCGUGGUUUGCUACAACAUCCAUGUACCUUUCUCAUUCCUGUAAAUCUGGAGCAAGGUUGCCAAUUAUUUGCCAGAAGCAGCCUCUAGGGCAGAUCGGUAUGUACAGUCAGCUUGCAAAUUCAUGUACAGUGGUGUUCCUGAACUGAAAAGCUAUGCAAAAUCUGCUUCUUGAUGCAGCUACAUUCAUACUCUUCAUCAGUAAAAAAAAAAAAAAUGUUGAAGGAAAUUACAGUCAAUAUGUUGUACAUAGAAAAGGGAAUUUCUCAUUUUUAACCUUUUUUUUCUUUAUGCAAGUGAAAACCAGUCCCAUCCCCAUCCCAGCCCAUGUAUCUGCUGAUAUUUUCUGUACCAAAAAUUCGCAUUGUUUCUGCCAUCCCACGUUAUAAACAUCCUGAUUUACUUUUUCUGUCUUCGAAAAAACGUUUAGUUGUGCAAAUAAAAGGCCGGCUUUUUCCCUUGAAAACGUGACUAUGAAAAUAUUUGGGGUAGAAAACUUAACAUAAACAAUACUGAGCUGUGAGUUUUAAAACACGGCUUCAUUUAGAAGCUAAAGGGGAAAAUUUUUCUUGUACAGAGGAAUGCAAACGUAAAAGCAUAGAUGCAGCUUUUUAGUUAAUUGCCCUCCCGAAAGCACCCGAUUUACGAGCUACUAUAUCAUAUCUCCAGCAAUUACAAAACACGUCGUGACUCAUGUCACUGCCAUGUAUUCUUCAUUUUAAAAUAACUUUCCAACUCACAACUCAAGAAAUAAGCUUCGUUUUCAUUGUAAAAUAACUUUUUCACCGACAACUCGGAUAAAUUUGAAGUACAUCCAAUCCCGCAAUUCUAUGGAUAAGAGUAUUUAACAAUUUAGAUUAACUGCUGUUACAAGCAGUUCUGUCCUCUUAUACAACACGUUGGUUAAUUUUGUCACAAAGUUUUGUCUCUUUCCUUGCGAAGAUUCAAUGCCUUAUUCUCAGGAAAUUGAGAAGGAACUCUGCUGAGAAGCCAAACCAGAAAUACACCAAAGAGAGCACCAGAUAAAAUUGCAACGUGAUUGAUACUCUGCACUGAAUAGCCACCAAUAAAAGUACCCGACGUUCUGGCUGAAGCUUGGGCUGCUCCACAACCCACAGAGCAAAGCAAACAAGACUCAGACGAUUCACAUGUCUAAGUGGGAAGUAAUCACCUUCUCUACAACAAAUUGGCCAGUAUCAGCACCUCCAGAAUCUUCCUCCAGUCCCAUGGCAUCUACAAUAAGCAAAAGGGUUUAGAAGCUUUAUAUAAAUAAAUUUCAUCACUUUGUAUGCAUGCAGGGAAUGGGAAUUUAAUUUCUCGUGGAGUCAGCUUACCAUGUAUGCAUGUCACAUCACUUUGUAUCACAACUUUGUGUCCAAGUAAAACAUAAUAUUGAUAACAAGAGAAUAUUUGUGUAGGGAAUGGGAGAUUUAUUGAAUGAAAUGGUAGUGAUGAUGAGCCAAACAAUGGCUAUUGCACGUCUUCAAUGCAUAUUUAUUUAUUUAUUCUCUACCCCAGUACAUUCAAACUUAUAGUUGAAAAUGCAUAUUCUAAAUGAAAAUGGUCGCAAUAUUAUCAAGUCAUCAGAAUACAUCUGAACCAUGUUAUGUUUGUUUGAGUUGUGCUGGCUCAUGGGAUGUGAUGGAUUAUCAAGAUGGAUAUAGAAGUUGGGAGCAUGGCCAAAGAUGGCUCCGAGGCCGGAGAAUCUGUUGCAAAGGGUCAUAAUGUCUUAUUCUCAAUACUACUACUGCAAGCCAGUUUGGUUUUCCUGAAGCAGCUGCCGGAUCUGAGUUAUAUUGAUGCUUGCGAGCAUUUCAAGUCAAGAUGUCAGUUCGGUUUUACGCAAAUUAACCAUUUCAAGUAAAGAUGUCAAACAGGUUACUAGGUUAUUAGUUCUAAAUGCAGGGAUCAAGUUGACUGCUCUAAGAAAUCAGCCCGUACUAGUUUUUAUUUCCUAACCAUUCAGAAUUAUAUGUUUAAGUUUUUGUUUGGAAAAAAAAAAAGUACUGUUUAUGGCAAGCCAUUUAGGCGUUGCGCCCGUUGCCCUUGCCCCUGCGGCCCGCGCCCUAUGCCCUGCCGCUGCGUCGGGAUCUUAUUAUUAUUAUUUAUGAAGAGUUUGUGGUCAAUUCUUCAAAUUCAACAAACCCAAUAAAUCAAUCUCUUGGAAUUUUAUUUAUUUAUCUGAAAUAAUAGCUAGCAAUAUGUCCAUGCAUUCAUCGUCAGGUAUGAUCUUUUUAUUUAUUUUAAUGAUAAUUUUGUAAAUCGUUUGGGUUUGAUGCUUUACCUCUCAACUGUGAUGAUGAUGUGAACAAUAACAAUAACUUUUGUUUUAAAAAAAAAAUUAAUAGGGGAGAAUGACUAUGAGAAUGUGAUCGCUGGUGGUGAUGCAGAAAAAGAGAAUGUGAUUAAGGUGUUUAAAGAUAAUGGGUUGGAGAAUUGUUUGGGUGGGGAUGCUACUGAUGCAGAAGAAGUCUUUACGAUUUGUAGGGUCUUUGGCGUGGAUCAAAUAGUGAAUGCAAUGAGAGCCUUAAUGCCUCAGAAAAGAAUUGACCUUUUGAAGAUUUUUUUUGAAGAAUACGAGGAGGAUAGCCGAUGUUUAUGUUGCUGGAGGUCCUAAUGCUAGGCUAAACUUUUUAAAACUGCAACAACGCCUUCUUCUCUCCUCGAUUCAGGCCUUUAGAAGAGCAACACCAGCAAGAAUGGAUCCAGUAUUUACAACAGGUACAACCGCAUCUUGAAUUUUGAUGAAUUGCCUGUGAGAAGUUUGGGAAGUAAACCUGAGGGGACACGUAAUAUUAAGUGCUUUUAUACUCUUCUUGGAGGGAUUGGUUUCAUAGUUGAUUGCAGCUUCGGGUAGGGCUCCUUUAGUUUCCCUGAUGUGCAGGAAGCAUAAUUUGCCUUACAAUAUCGCCUAACUUUGUUAGGCCUUUGGAAUGACUGUUGUGACUUUUCAAGCUGUGCUGCCUUUGCAGGCUUGAGGUCUCUCCAGCUCAAUUCUAAGAAACCUGACACUGAAGGCUGUUAGCUCUCAUGGGUGAUGGACUUCUUGAGAACCUUUUUUAAGUUUUUGCUGCUGCAGUUAUGUGCACUUGUUUGAUGCUUUGAUGUGAGGUGCGUCUAAUGAUUUCCUUUUUGAUUGAAACCCAAGGGUGGUCAUUCUUGUUGUUGAUGAGAAAAUAAGAUCCCCAUUGCUUGGAAGCUCCAGAAUAUCAUUAAUCUGAGCUGCAUUCUAUGGCACCAGCUCUUGCUUUUCAUGCAUAGUUUACAGUUCGUUUGUAGUGUUGUGGAGUAGAAGCUCUAGAAGCUCUAGCUGUAUUAACUAAUAUUGUUUAGGAAUUGGUUAUAUGAAGAAUAAAAGCUCUAGUUGUCUUAAAAAAAUUGUUUAACUGGGAUAACAUCUGCUUAGCUAUGGCAGCCCAACCUUUAAACAAUGCAUUGGCAGUUUGGCAGUGGCAGUCUGGUUGUUUUGUAGCCAAGGCACAAGGAUCAUUAAUGUAUUUACUUCUGAUAGCUUAAUGUGUCAACUUACUGUGAUAUUUUGAUUUUUAAUAAGAAUAAGAUCAUAAAACUAUACUACUGAUUUUUGUUAUUAGUAUAGACUUAGCUAGGCAACCUUUUAACAUCAACCAAAGGGAAAAAAAUAAUAAAAGAAAAAAAGUGACUUUGCGUGUUAAUCUCUCCCUUAAGUCUUUAUAAGGAUCAAAAUUUUCAAAAAAGAUUAUAUAAUUUUGCCCACAAAUUUCUUUUUUGUUUGUUGUUGGGUUACUUGAUGCUGCGUUAAUAAUGCUUCUUUUCAAUUAUAGUCAUCUGAAUCAACUCUGCCCUUUAAUCACUAAAUGCUUGGAGAUUAGAAAAGAAUUAAAGAGUGUAGUGAUGUCAAAGCUUUUGAUGUAGUUGAAGUGUUUCUCGAAUUGAUUGUUAGAGGUUUGGGAUGAAUCAGCUUUGAUGGUGGAUUGCAGUUUUGCUCAAUGCCGUCCCUAGAAAAUUUCACCCAAACCUCUGUGAAAAGCAUUACAUGCCUUGCAAUAUUGCUUCUUUUGGAAGGCCAAUGCAAUGACAAUGGGGGCUCAAUGGGCUACUGACGUACAGGCUUGAAAUCUCUUCACUCCAGUUCCAAGAAAUCUGGUGUGGUAGGGAGGCUGUUAACCAACACUCAUUCUUGUGAAUCUUUACAAGUUUUUGCUGCUUGCAGUUGUGGUGAUCAUUCUUGGUUUUGAAGAAAGAAAUAAUAUAAUCAUUGCUUGGAGGAUUCCGAUUAUCAUUUACCGGAGCUGCGUUCUAUGGACUAGCAUUUGAUGGUUUUGGUUCAUUUUAUUCUUAAGACUUGCAAUGUGUGUUGAAAUUGCAGUCAAGCUUGAAACCAUCUUUCACAAGUGUCAUUAAUUACACCACCAUAAUGUGAUCAAAUUUCAGUGACUAUUUCCUCACUACUAGGGGUGUCAAAAAAGCCCGCCCGGACCGGACCCGGCCC